UGCCCAUUAGCUCAGUUGGCUAGAGUAUGGUGCUAAUAACACCAAGGUCAUGGGUUCAAUCUCUCUAUGGACCU